rnacentral:rRNA from 1 species
UAAGCCAUGCAAGUUAAGCCUCCCUAGCUAUGUUGGGAGAGCAGCGAACGGCUCAGUAACACGUAGUUAAUCUGCCCUUGGGACGGAGAUAACUCCGGGAAACUGGAGCUAAUAACUGAUAGAUGGAAGUUCCUGGAAUGGUCUUCCACCAAAAAGUUCUAGGGAACAUGCUCUCAAGAACGCCCAAGGAUGAGACUGCGUCCGAUCAGGUUGUUGGUGGGGUAACGGCCCACCAAGCCGUUGACCGGUACGGGCCCUGAGAGGGGGAGCCCGGAGAUGGGAACUGAGAUAAGGUCCCAGGUCCUACGGGGCGCAGCAGGCGCGAAAACUCCACAAUGCGCGAAAGCGUGAUGGGGUUACCCCGAGUGCCGUCCGAUGAGGAGGGCUUUUACCCAGUGUAAGGAGCUGGGAGAAUAAAGGGGGGGAAAGACUGGUGUCAGCCGCCGCGGUAAUACCAUCCCCCUGAGUGAUAGGGACGAUUA